rnacentral:rRNA from 1 species
UCCUACGGGGGGCAGCAGUGGGGAAUAUUGCACAAUGGGGGGAACCCUGAUGCAGCGACGCCGCGUGAGUGAAGAAGUAUUUCGGUAUGUAAAGCUCUGUCAGCAGGGAAGAAAGCAAUGACGGUACCUGACCAAGAAGCCCCGGCUAACUACGUGCCAGCAGCCGCGGUAAUACGUAGGGGGCAAGCGUUAUCCGGAAUUACUGGGUGUAAAGGGAGCGUAGACGGCUGUGCAAGUCUGGAGUGAAAGGCGGGGGCCCAACCCCCGGACUGCUCUGG